rnacentral:lncRNA from 1 species
CGCGGGGCAGGGGCGGGCUCCGGGCAGAGGCGGCCGUGAUAACUCCACGCUCCCGCUCCAGCCGGUGACCGCCACGCGGGCUCCUCUCACUCUCACACUCAGGCCGAGAAAAUGCCGAAAGCCGUGUCACCAACGGGGGACCUCGGGGCCACAUUCAGCAUGCAGAGUUUAUUUGGUCUGCUCAAACAUUUGUGUUAGGAAAUAACACAUUAAAAGUGCACAUUUCCUUCAGACCCUGAGAAGCGGGCGAGUCCCGUGCGCUCCGCACCGCCAGCCCCGGCCCCGCGCUCGCCCAGAGGGCCGCCCUCCUCCCGCCGACCCGGCUUGGGGCUUAGGCGUUAAUCCCGUCCCCCGGGGGGGCCGCGCGGGGAGCCCCGAUCGCCUUAGGGUCAACGGCUUAGGUCCCAGCCCACGAGGCCUGACCGCACCGCACUGAGCGGCCUCUGCGCCAGGUAAGGGGGUUCGGGGCGGGACCGGGAACCGCGCUGCUAGCCGUCCCGGAAACCCGCGGUGGGCCGUUGGGUGCGCGCCGAGCCGCUGCCAACUGCCAAGCCACGGGACG